CAGCAGCCACGGUAAUACGAGGGGGGCAAGCGUUGUUCGGAAUUAUUGGGCGUAAAGGGUGCGUAGGCGGUUCAGCAAGUCUCGUGUGAAAUCUUCGGGCUCAACCCGAAGUCUGCACGGGAAACUACUGGGCUUGAGUAAUGGAGAGGUGAGUGGAAUUUCCGGUGUAGCGGUGAAAUGCGUAGAUAUCGGAAGGAACACCUGUGGCGAAAGCGGCUCACUGGACAUUUACUGACGCUGAUGCACGAAAGCUAGGGGAGCAAACAGGAUUAGAUACCCCCGUAGUCCCUGUCUCUUAUAC
rnacentral:rRNA from 1 species